rnacentral:rRNA from 1 species
AUUGAACGCUGGCGGCAGGCCUAACACAUGCAAGUCGAGCGGCAGCGGGAAAGUAGCUUGCUACUUUUGCCGGCGAGCGGCGGACGGUUGAGUAAUGCCUGGGAAAUUGCCCAGUCGAGGGGGAUAACAGUUGGAAACGACUGCUAAUACCGCAUGCGCCCUACGGGGGAAAGCAGGGGACCUUCGGGCCUUGCGCGCUUGGAUAUGCCCAGGUGGGAUUAGCUAGUUGGUGAGGUAAUGGCUCACCAAGGCGACGAUCCCUAGCUGGUCUGAGAGGAUGAUCAGCCACACUGGAACUGAGACACGGUCCAGACUCCUACGGGAGGCAGCAGUGGGGAAUAUUGCACAAUGGGGGAAACCCUGAUGCAGCCAUGCCGCGUGUGUGAAGAAGGCCUUCGGGUUGUAAAGCACUUUCAGCGAGGAGGAAAGGUUGAUGCCUAAUACGUAUCAACUGUGACGUUACUCGCAGAAGAAGCACCGGCUAACUCCGUGCCAGCCGCCGCGGUAA